UGGCACCUGGGGCCAUCCGCCAUGAUUUUGUACCGCGGCCUCGCUGAGCACGAUAACCGUAACACCGCCCGCCCUAUCCGAAGCCAUCUCUGCAGCACCUGGUUUACGACACUCUGGUUUACGACAAUAAACACGUUGCUACAGACUCCUUCCUCUCAUCCCUUUCCUCAACCAUGGACCUCCUUUGCCCCUUGACUACAAGACCCAAGAAGUCUUCUUGUCCCACACCGUGGCUGUCAGAAGUUUUGCGCAGCAGUCGACGAGAGCUCAGAUCUGCAGAGAGUGACUUCAGCCAAAACUGCCUUCUACAAGGAAAAGCUUGAGGCCUCUGCU